rnacentral:rRNA from 1 species
GCAUUUUGGACAAUGGGCGAAAGCCUGAUCCAGCAAUGCCGCGUGCAGGAUGAAGGCCUUCGGGUUGUAAACUGCUUUUGUACGGAACGAAAAGCUUUGGGUUUAUACUCUGGAGUCAUGACGGUUCCGUAAGAUUAAGCACCGGCUAACUACGUUCCAGCAGCCGCGGUAAUACGCAGGGUGCAAGCGUUAAUCGGAUUUGCCGGGCGUAAAGCGUGGGCAGGCGGUUUUGUAAGACAGAGGUGAAAGCCCCGGGCUCAACCUGGGAACGGCCGUUGUGACUGAAAGGCUAGAGUACGGAAGAGGGGGGUGGAAUUCCGCGGGUAGCAGGGAAAGGCGUAGAAAUGCGGAGGAACACCGAUGGCGAAGGCAACCCCCUGGGCCUGUACUGACGCUCAUGCACGAAAGCGUGGGGAGCAAACA